rnacentral:rRNA from 1 species
CUUAUUUGAUUUUCUUCGGAACUGAAGAUUUGGUGAUUGAGUGGCGGACGGGUGAGUAACGCGUGGGUAACCUACCCUGUACAGGGGGAUAACAGUCAGAAAUGACUGCUAAUACCGCAUAAGACCACAGCACCGCAUGGUGCAGGGGUAAAAACUCCGGUGGUACAGGAUGGACCCGCGUCUGAUUAGCUGGUUGGUGAGGUAACGGCUCACCAAGGCGACGAUCAGUAGCCGGCUUGAGAGAGUGAACGGCCACAUUGGGACUGAGACACGGCCCAAACUCCUACGGGAGGCAGCAGUGGGGAAUAUUGCACAAUGGGGGAAACCCUGAUGCAGCGACGCCGCGUGAGUGAAGAAGUAUCUCGGUAUGUAAAGCUCUAUCAGCAGGGAAGAAAAUGACGGUACCUGACUAAGAAGCCCCGGCUAACUACGUGCCAGCAGCCGCGGUAAUACGUAGGGGGCAAGCGUUAUCCGGAAUUGCUGGGUGUAAAGGGUGCGUAGGUGGUAUGGCAAGUCAGAAGUGAAAACCCAGGGCUUAACUCUGGGACUGCUUUUGAAACUGUCAGACUAGAGUGCAGGAGAGGUAAGCGGAAUUCCUAGUGUAGCGGUGAAAUGCGUAGAUAUUAGGAGGAACAUCAGUGGCGAAGGCGGCUUCUGGACUGAAACUGA